AGGAGGAGGAGGAGGAGGAGGGGAAAAAGAACCACCAAAUAACCAUAUCCUGUAAUCCUUCAGCAAGUGUAGGAGCGAAGGAUCUCACGUGACCAGAAGGAGGAGGAGGAGGAGGACGAGGCGGAAAAGAACCCUAUCCUAUGUAUUCCUAUGUAUUCCAAAAAAAGCAUAUCCUUCCGUCCUUCAGCGUAUAGAGACGAAGGAACUCAUGUGGCCAAUCUCUAAUGACCUCUGACCCUCCUGAGGACAUUCCCUUCGACGCAUCGCACCCCCUCGCCUUAUAGCUCCUUGCCAUCAGCCGCGCAGGGGUGUCUUCCGCCCCCUACCGCCCCCUUCCUGCUCCUCACCCCUGCGUUUGUCAAUAGUCUGCUGGCAGGGGCUGCAGACACACAAAGACAGAGGCUGAAGAUUAUUUUCACGCUUCAACAAUAUUUCACUGGCAAUAGCAGGAAAUGGAGAGGCAAACACAGCGCUCUCUUCCCUUGCCUUCCCCGCCCUCACGUUGUCAAUAGUCUGCUGGCAAAUGGCUUGAGACACAACGGGAAGGCGCUGCAACAAUGGCCUUCAGGUUAAUGGCUUGAGGCACAACGGGGAACGCUGCAACAGUACUCUUCAGGUAAUGGAUCGAGGCACAACGGGGAACGCUUCAACAGUACUCUUCAGGUAAUGGAUCGAGACACAACGGGGAACGCUUCAACAGUACUCUUCAGGUAAUGGAUCGAGGCACAACGGGGAACGCUUCAACAGUACUCUUCAGGUAAUGGAUCGAGGCACAACGGGGAACGCUUCAACGGUACUCUUCAGGUAAUGGAUCGAGGCACAACGGGGAACGCUUCAACAGUACUCUUCAGGUAAUGGAUCGAGGCACAACGGGGAACGCUUCAACAGUACUCUUCAGGUAAUGGAUCGAGGCACAACGGGGAACGCUUCAACAGUACUCUUCAGGUAAUGGAUCGAGGCACAACGGGGAACGCUUCAACGGUACUCUUCAGGUAAAGGAUCGAGGCACAACGGGAAAACAAUCUACACUGUCCUUCUGUCAACAGUAAGCAGCACAAACGUCAAUCGCACAACAGCACCACAAGAGUCUGCGGGCGAUGGCUUGAAGCACAAAGAGAAGCGUUUUACGACACUCUUCACACCUGUGCCUUCACUUUGUCACGCAGGAAAUAAUUAACUUAGUGUGUUUUGGCAAAUAAAUUCUUCCUUUCGCUUCCACCUCUGGCAUCAAAGAGCGAGAGGCUAAACCAAAACUAGGCUCAUAAAAACACAUAAACACACACAGACGCAUCCACCACUCCUGUGAACCUAACCCCACCUAAUAUCACUGUCCAUGAAUUUAUCUAAUCUAAUUUUGAAUGUGGCUAUCGUAUUGGCGCUCACCACAUGACUGCCCAGCCUGUUCCACUCAUCCACCACUCUGUUAGUAAACGAUUUUCCUGCCUAUGUCCCUGUUGAAUCUGAAUUUAUCCAGUGAAUGUGGCUAUUGUAUUGGCACUCACCACAUGACUGCCCAGCCUGUUCCACUCAUCCACCACUCUGUUAGUAAACGAUUUUCCUGCCUAUGUCCCUGUUGAAUCUGAAUUUAUCCAGUGAAUGUGGCUAUUGUAUUGGCACUCACCACAUGACUGCCCAGCCUGUUCCACUCAUCUACCACUCUGUUAGUAAACGAUUUUCCUGCCUAUGUCCCUGUUGAAUCUGAAUUUAUCCAGUGAAUGUGACUAUCGUAUUGGCGCUCACCACAUGACUGCCCAGCCUGUUCCACUCAUCCACCACUCUGUUAGUAAACGAUUUUCCUGCCAAUGUCCCUGUUGAAUCUGAAUUUAUCCAGUGAAUGUGACUAUCGUAUUGGCGCUCACCACAUGACUGCCUAGCCUGUUCCACUCAUCCACCACUCUGUUAGUAAACCAAUUCUUGCCUAUGUCCCUGUUGAAUUUGAAUUUAUCCAGUUUAAACCCAUUACUACGUGUCCUACCCGAUUCUCUUACCAUCAGAAGUGAGAGUUUUGGCAAAUAAAUUCUACUUUUCUGGCAUCAAAGAGCGAAAGGCUUAACCAAAACAAGGCUGAUAAAAGCACACACACACACACACACACACACACACACACACACACACACACAGACGUACGCUCUUCAAUUAUUACUCCUGAAGUUGAGAAAGAUUGAACGACCAACACACUUCUAGCAAUAUCACUAACUCCUUCUUUUCUUCUACUGGUUUUAUUUUUUGUUUAUUUUUGUUUAUUGUUUUAUUUUUUUAUUCCCCAGUAUUUCUUUUGUUUCUUGAUGUUUUUUUUUGUCUCGUCUUUCUUUACGUAAACCAUCUCUCUCUCUCUCUCUCUCUCUCUCUCUCUC